GACGAACGCUGGCGGCGUGCUUAACACAUGCAAGUCGAACGAAGUGGCGAACGGGUGAGUAACGCGUAAUCAACCUGCCCUUCAGAGGGGGACAACAGUUGGAAACGACUGCUAAUACCGCAUACUGAAGGAGGGUAUUGCGUCUGAUUAGCUAGUUGGAGGGGUACCGGCCUACCAAGGCGAUGAUCAGUAGGCGGGCUGGGAGGAGGAACGGGCACAAGGGGACCGAGACACGGCCCAAGCUCCCACGGGAGGCAGGAGUUGGGAAACUUCCGCAAUGGACGAAAGGCUGACGGGGGAAAGCCGGGGUAGUGAUGACGGCCUUCGGGUUGUAAAGCUCUGUUAAUCGGGACGCGGUACCGGAAUAGAAAGCCACGGCUAACUACGUGCCAGCAGCCGCGGUAAUUC
rnacentral:rRNA from 1 species